rnacentral:rRNA from 1 species
UGGGGAAUAUUGGACAAUGGGCGCAAGCCUGAUCCAGCCAUGCCGCGUGAGUGACGAAGGCCUUAGGGUUGUAAAGCUCUUUUGGCGGGGAAGAUAAUGACGGUACCCGCAGAAUAAGCUCCGGCUAACUUCGUGCCAGCAGCCGCGGUAAUACGAAGGGAGCUAGCGUUGUUCGGAAUCACUGGGCGUAAAGCGCACGUAGGCGGAUGUGUCAGUCAGGGGUGAAAUCCCGGAGCUCAACUUCGGAACUGCCCUUGAUACAGCACGUCUUGAGUCCGAUAGAGGUGGGUGGAAUUCCUAGUGUAGAGGUGAAAUUCGUAGAUAUUAGGAAGAACACCGGUGGCGAAGGCGGCCCACUGGAUCGGUACUGACGCUGAGGUGCGAAAGCGUGGGGAGCAAACAGGAUUAGAUACCCUCGUAGUCCCUGAGCGGGCUGGCAAGGCGCAU